rnacentral:rRNA from 1 species
AACGAACGCUGGCGGCAGGCUUAACACAUGCAAGUCGAGCGCCCCGCAAGGGGAGCGGCAGACGGGUGAGUAACACGUGGGAAUCUACCCAUCCCUACGGAACAACUCCGGGAAACUGGAGCUAAUACCGUAUACGUCCUUCGGGGGAAAGAUUUAUCGGGGAUGGAUGAGCCCGCGUUGGAUUAGCUAGUUGGUGGGGUAAAGGCCUACCAAGGCGACGAUCCAUAGCUGGUCUGAGAGGAUGAUCAGCCACAUUGGGACUGAGACACGGCCCAAACUCCUACGGGAGGCAGCAGUGGGGAAUAUUGGACAAUGGGCGCAAGCCUGAUCCAGCCAUGCCGCGUGAGUGAUGAAGGCCUUAGGGUUGUAAAGCUCUUUCACCGAUGAAGAUAAUGACGGUAGUCGGAGAAGAAGCCCCGGCUAACUUCGUGCCAGCCGCCGCCGUAACAC